GAUGAAGGCGGCUGCGACUGAGUGGCGGACGGGUGAGUAACGCGUGGGCAACCUGCCUUGCACUGGGGGAUAACAGCCAGAAAUGGCUGCUAAUACCGCAUAAGACCGAAGCGCCGCAUGGCGCAGCGGCCAAAGCCCCGGCGGUGCAAGAUGGGCCCGCGUCUGAUUAGGUAGUUGGCGGGGUAACGGCCCACCAAGCCGACGAUCAGUAGCCGACCUGAGAGGGUGACCGGCCACAUUGGGACUGAGACACGGCCCAGACUCCUACGGGAGGCAGCAGUGGGGAAUAUUGCACAAUGGGGGAAACCCUGAUGCAGCGACGCCGCGUGAAGGAAGAAGUAUCUCGGUAUGUAAACUUCUAUCAGCAGGGAAGAAAAUGACGGUACCUGACUAAGAAGCCCCGGCUAACUCUGUGCCAGCAGCCGCGGUAAUACAGAGGUCUCAAGCGUUGUUCGGAAUCACUGGGCGUAAAGCGUGCGUAGGCUGUUUCGUAAGUCGUGUGUGAAAGGCAGGGGCUCAACCCCUGGAUUGCACAUGAUACUGCGAGACUAGAGUAAUGGAGGGGGAACCGGAAUUCUCGGUGUAGCAGUGAAAUGCGUAGAUAUCGAGAGGAACACUCGUGGCGAAGGCGGGUUCCUGGACAUUAACUGACGCUGAGGCACGAAGGCCAGGGGAGCGAAAGGGAUUAGAUACCCCUGUAGUCCUGGCAGUAAACGGUGCACGCUUGGUGUGCGGGGAAUCGACCCCCUGCGUGCCGGAGCUAACGCGUUAAGCGUGCCGCCUGGGGAGUACGGUCGCAAGAUUAAAACUCAAAGAAAUUGACGGGGACCCGCACAAGCGGUGGAGUAUGUGGCUUAAUUCGAUGCAACGCGAAGAACCUUACCUGGGCUUGACAUGUAAUGAACAACAUGUGAAAGCAUGCGACUCUUCGGAGGCGUUACACAGGUGCUGCAUGGCCGUCGUCAGCUCGUGUCGUGAGAUGUUUGGUUAAGUCCAGCAACGAGCGCAACCCCUGUUGCCAGUUACCAGCACGUCAAGGUGGGGACUCUGGCGAGACUGCCCAGAUCAACUGGGAGGAAGGUGGGGACGACGUCAGGUCAGUAUGGCCCUUAUGCCCAGGGCUGCACACGUACUACAAUGCCCAGUACAGAGGGGGCCGAAGCCGCGAGGCGGAGGAAAUCCUGAAAACUGGGCCCAGUUCGGACUGUAGGCUGCAACCCGCCUACACGAAGCCGGAAUCGCUAGUAAUGGCGCAUCAGCUACGGCGCCGUGAAUACGUUCCCGGGUCUUGCACACACCGCCCGUCA
rnacentral:rRNA from 1 species